UAAUCACCUUUUUUCCUGUUAUUCUGCUGCUCGUUCUCCUCUUCUUCUUUGAUUCCGGCAGUCGUUUUUAUGAGACCAGCGGCGCUGAACAGAGCAACCGCCGGACUGAAUUGCUCGUUUCGGAACGCUUGCGAAAAAAUCAUAACUCAA
ensembl:ncRNA T06H11.10 ncRNA